rnacentral:rRNA from 1 species
CCUACGGGCGGCUGCAGUGGGGAAUAUUGGACAAUGGGCGAAAGCCUGAUCCAGCCAUGCCGCGUGUGUGAAGAAGGCCUUCGGGUUGUAAAGCACUUUCAGUGGGGAAGAAAGCCUUGGGGCUAAUACCCUCGAGGAAGGACAUCACCCACAGAAGAAGCACCGGCUAACUCCGUGCCAGCAGCCGCGGUAAUACGGAGGGUGCGAGCGUUAAUCGGAAUUACUGGGCGUAAAGCGCGCGUAGGCGGUCUGAUAAGCCGGUUGUGAAAGCCCUGGGCUCAACCUGGGAACGGCAUCCGGAACUGUCAGGCUAGAGUGCAGGAGAGGAAGGUAGAAUUCCCGGUGUAGCGGUGAAAUGCGUAGAGAUCGGGAGGAAUACCAGUGGCGAAGGCGGCCUUCUGGACUGACACUGACGCUGAGGUGCGAAAGCGUGGGUAGCAAACAGGAUUAGAUACCCUGGUAGUC